rnacentral:misc_RNA from 1 species
UUUCAUUGCUUGUUUAUCUGACGACACAAAUUCAGAGUAUGAGAACUCCGGCGAGUUCGCGCCGGCAGAAUUGAUCUUCCGCCAACGGCUGUUUCCAACGUCUCGCCGAAGCAACGUCGGAUGGUCAAGGGUGGGGAGUUCCUGAAGCAGGAAAACUCGGUAAUGAUCCUUCCGCAGGUUCACUGUGGAUGUUAGCUGAAAUCCCCUCAAAAAGAGAAACAUACCCUACGGAAA